AUUUUCGACCGUGUCAACCCUGCGCGAGUUUGAAAGCCUAAACCAAGUGGAACGGAUUCUUUGAGAGCUUUACAGUGGACAGGUUCUGCCGGUUCUGCAUGGCGACAAGGAGCGCUAUCCAAGAAAAGGAGAUGGCGGCCCACCAGAAGAUGACCUUGAGGGUCAUUCUCACGGAGGCAGACAUAAGAAAAGUCAUCCUGAAUACAAGGCCUACCACAGUCAAGGAUUUGAUAGACAAGCUUAAAGAAUCACUUGGACUUGAUUACAACUGCAGUCUCCAAUACCAAGACCCUGACUUUAAUUACGAACUAUGCAAUCUGACAGAUAUUGCGGAUCUUCCAGAAAAACCAACAUUGAAAGUCAUCCCUAUCCUGGAGCUGCUAUCAGUCUCAAUGUCUGAUGACAUUUUGAAUGACACACACAGUACGGCAGAUACGGAGAUCCUCUCCAGAUCAUCACAGGAGCGACAGAAACAUUGGCCAGAACAAUUUGAAAUCCCAAAUUUUUCUGUCGAUGUGGCAUACAGACUCAGGCAAGCAGAUCUGCUGUUUUUUCGUGACGGCACACCCCUGAAAGUAUCUAAAGAACUGAAGCAUGAGAUCCUGGAACGACUGGCAGAGAGCAUUUAC